GUCUACGGUCAUGCCACCCUAAACGUGCCUGAUCUCAUCUGAUCUCAGAAGCUACGCAGGGUCAGGGUUGGAUGGGAGACCACCUAGGAAUACCAGGUGUAAAAU
rnacentral:rRNA from 1 species